CUGACAAUAAAAUUGCUGCCCCAAAAGAAAUCUUAGCUAUAGAGUACAAAAAGGAGCCAGAGGUGAAGGAGGAGCACCCACCAUCGCCACCUCCACCUGAACCAGUAAAAGUUGAAGAGCCAGUUGUUGAACAACCUGAUUUGUUGGCCUUGGAUGAUCCUGUUCCAGCUGCUUCAGAACUGGAUGAGAAGAAUGCCCUGGCUCUAGCUAUUGUUCCAGUU
rnacentral:misc_RNA from 1 species